UGAUCCUGGCUCAGGAUGAACGCUAGCGGCAGGCCUAAUACAUGCAAGUCGAACGGUAACAUUGGUGCUUGCACCAGAUGACGAGUGGCGCACGGGUGCGUAACGCGUAUGCAACCUACCUUUUACUAGAGUAUAGCCCAGAGAAAUUUGGAUUAAUCCUCUAUAACAUCUUUUAAUUUCAUGAUUUUAAGAUUAAAGUUUUAACGGUAAAAGAUGGGCAUGCGUCCUAUUAGUUUGUAGGUGAGGUAACGGCUCACCUAGACUACGAUAGGUAGGGGCCCUGAGAGGGGGAUCCCCCACACUGGUACUGAGACACGGACCAGACUCCUACGGGAGGCAGCAGUAAGGAAUAUUGGACAAUGGACGAAAGUCUGAUCCAGCCAUGCCGCGUGCAGGAUGACAGCCCUACGGGUUGUAAACUGCUUUUAUACGGGAAGAAACACUCCGACGUGUCGGAGCUUGACGGUACUGUAAGAAUAAGGAUCGGCUAACUCCGUGCCAGCAGCCGCGGUAAUACGGAGGAUCCAAGCGUUAUCCGGAAUCAUUGGGUUUAAAGGGUCCGCAGGCUGUUUUUUAAGUCAGAGGUGAAAUCCUGCAGCUCAACUGUAGAACUGCCUUUGAUACUGGAAAACUUGAGUUAUUGUGAAGUGGUUAGAAUGUGUGGUGUAGCGGUGAAAUGCAUAGAUAUCACACAGAAUACCGAUUGCGAAGGCAGAUCACUAACAAUAUACUGACGCUCAUGGACGAAAGCGUGGGGAGCGAACAGGAUUAGAUACCCUGGUAGU
rnacentral:rRNA from 1 species